rnacentral:tRNA from 1 species
GCCGCUAUGGUGAAAAUGGUAGACACGUUGCUCUUAGGAAGCAAUGCAAAUGCAUCUCGGUUCGAAUCCGAGUAGCGG